GACGAACGCUGGCGGCGUGCCUAAUACAUGCAAGUAGAACGCUGAAGAGAGGAGCUUGCUCUUCUUGAAUGAGUUGCGAACGGGUGAGUAACGCGUAGGUAACCUGCCUUGUAGCGGGGGAUAACUAUUGGAAACGAUAGCUAAUACCGCAUAACAAUGGGUGACACAUGUCAUUUAUUUGAAAGGGGCAAUUGCUCCACUACAAGAUGGACCUGCGUUGUAUUAGCUAGUAGGUGAGGUAACGGCUCACCUAGGCGACGAUACAUAGCCGACCUGAGAGGGUGAUCGGCCACACUGGGACUGAGACACGGCCCAGACUCCUACGGGAGGCAGCAGUAGGGAAUCUUCGGCAAUGGGGGCAACCCUGACCGAGCAACGCCGCGUGAGUGAAGAAGGUUUUCGGAUCGUAAAGCUCUGUUGUAAGUCAAGAACGAGUGUGAGAGUGGAAAGUUCACACUGUGACGGUAGCUUACCAGAAAGGGACGGCUAACUACGUGCCAGCAGCCGCGGUAAUACGUAGGUCCCGAGCGUUGUCCGGAUUUAUUGGGCGUAAAGCGAGCGCAGGCGGUUUGAUAAGUCUGAAGUUAAAGGCUGUGGCUCAACCAUAGUUCGCUUUGGAAACUGUCAAACUUGAGUGCAGAAGGGGAGAGUGGAAUUCCAUGUGUAGCGGUGAAAUGCGUAGAUAUAUGGAGGGACACCGGUGGCGAAAGCGGCUCUCUGGUCUGUAACUGACGCUGAGGCUCGAAAGCGUGGGGAGCGAACAGG
rnacentral:rRNA from 1 species